rnacentral:sRNA from 1 species
GCUGGGCAUAGUGAUGCAUGCCUGUAAUCCCAGCAACUCAGAAGGCUGAGACAGGAGGAUCACAAGUUCGAGGUCAGACUCAGCAACUUAGUGAGGUCUUAAGCAACUUAGUGAGACCUUGUGUCAA